AUGCAAGUCGAACGAAGCUUGACGAAUGAUUUCUUCGGAAUGAAAUCUGAUAUGACUGAGUGGCGGACGGGUGAGUAACGCGUGAGCAACCUGCCCUUCGGAACGGGAUAGUGUCUGGAAACGGACAGUAAUACCGUAUAACGUAUUUUUACCGCAUGAUAGAAAUACCAAAACUGAGGUGCCGAAGGAUGGGCUCGCGUCUGAUUAGAUAGUUGGUGGGGUAACGGCCUACCAAGUCGACGAUCAGUAGCCGGACUGAGAGGUUGAACGGCCACAUUGGGACUGAGACACGGCCCAGACUCCUACGGGAGGCAGCAGUGGGGAAUAUUGCACAAUGGGGGAAACCCUGAUGCAGCAACGCCGCGUGAAGGAAGACGGUUUUCGGAUUGUAAACUUCUGUUCUUAGUGAAGAAUAAUGACGGUAGCUAAGGAGCAAGCCACGGCUAACUACGUGCCAGCAGCCGCGGUAAUACGUAGGUGGCAAGCGUUGUCCGGAAUUACUGGGUGUAAAGGGAGCGUAGGCGGGAUGCCAAGUCAGCUGUGAAAACUAUGGGCUUAACCUGUAGACUGCAGUUGAAACUGGUAUUCUUGAGUGAAGUAGAGGUUGGCGGAAUUCCGAGUGUAGCGGUGAAAUGCGUAGAUAUUCGGAGGAACACCGGUGGCGAAGGCGGCCAACUGGGCUUUAACUGACGCUGAGGCUCGAAAGUGUGGGGAGCAAACAGGAUUAGAUACCCUGGUAGUCCACACUGUAAACGAUGAUAACUAGGUGUGGGGGGUCUGACCCCUUCCGUGCCGCAGCUAACGCAAUAAGUUAUCCACCUGGGGAGUACGACCGCAAGGUUGAAACUCAAAGGAAUUGACGGGGACC
rnacentral:rRNA from 1 species